rnacentral:rRNA from 1 species
UAUACAUGCAAGUCGAACGGCAGCACAGCAGAGCUUGCUCUGUGGGUGGCGAGUGGCGGACGGGUGAGGAAUACAUGGGAAUCUGCCCAGUCGUGGGGGAUAACGUAGGGAAACUUACGCUAAUACCGCAUGCGCCCUUCGGGGGAAAGCCGGGGACCUUCGGGCCUGGCGCGAUUGGAUGAGCCCAUGUCGGAUUAGCUAGUUGGCGGGGUAAAGGCCCACCAAGGCGACGAUCCGUAGCUGGUCUGAGAGGAUGAUCAGCCACACUGGAACUGAGACACGGUCCAAACUCCUACGGGAGGCAGCAGUAGGGAAUAUUGGACAAUGGGCGCAAGCCUGAUCCAGCCAUGCCGCGUGUGUGAAGAAGGCCUUCGGGUUGUAAAGCACUUUUGUCCGGAAAGAAAAGCGCUGGGUUAACACCCUGGUGUCCUGACGGUACCGGAAAAAUAAGCACCGGCUAACUUCGUGCCAGCAGCCGCGGUAAUACGAAGGGUGCAAGCGUUACUCGGAAUUACUGGGCGUAAAGCGUGCGUAGGUGGUUUGUUAAGUCUGAUGUGAAAGCCCUGGGCUCAACCUGGGAAUGGCAUUGGAUACUGGCGAGCUAGAGUGCGGUAGAGGGUAGUGGAAUUCCCGGUGUAGCAGUGAAAUG